ACUACGGGAGGCAGCAGUGAGGAAUAUUGGUCAAUGGCCGGAAGGCUGAACCAGCCAAGCCGCGUGAAGGACGAAGGUGCCAAGCAUUGUAAACUUCUUUUGUCAAGGGACAAAAUCAGGCUCGAGAGCCUGACCGAGGGUACUUGAAGAAAAAGCAUCGGCUAACUCCGUGCCCGCGGACGCGGUCAUACGGAGGCUGCGAGGGUUAUCCGGAUUUAUUGGGGUUAAAGGUUUCGUGGGCGGUCUGGUAAGUCAGCGGUAAAAGCCCGGGGCUCAACCCCGGCGAGACGUUGAAACUGGCUGUCUUGAGAUGUCGAGAGGUAUGCGGAAUGCGCAGUGUAGCGGUGAAAUGCUUAGAUAUUGCGCAGAACUCCGAUUGCGAAGGCAGCAUACCGGCGGCGAUCUGACGCUGAGGCACGAAAGCGUGGGUAUCGAACAGGAUUAGAUACCCUUGUAGUC
rnacentral:rRNA from 1 species